ACACAGCAGCAACUUCCGGUCACUUCCGCUCUGAGGAGGCACCGGGGCAGCAAGGAGGUACUCUGCCGCCCUGCCGGACUGUUUUAAAAGGCAGCGCCGGCAGGGGAAAUGAGGCGAGGGAAGUAAGAACACCCUCCCCCGUCCUUGAAGCGAUCACCCCUCUCCUCAAACAGGACGAACCACCUGUCUUCCAAACUGGCCCAUAAAGGGCCUCCAAACCAGUUCUGUGCACAUCCCGAGCACUGUGCAGAGAUGCCCCCUCUUGUGGUCACUGCUGGUAUAUACCAGACCAAAGAGUUCUCAAGCCUCUCCCUCUGAUGUGGAAACCAGGAAAAUAGUCACCGUGUGAAACUGAUGAGGUAGACUACCUGUGAAUGUUCAAAUAAAUUGUCAUAAGCCAAUGGAAAGUUUUGAAAGCCAGUAUAAUUCCAGUCAUUGGGAGCAAGUGACCAUAAUAUUGAACGCUAUGUUGGUAAAGGAACUCCUGAAUCAAACCAAACAGUGGAUAUAAUUAUCUUACUACUGCACUCUUUGUAACUGUGCUGUGGUCAUCUCUCACUAACUAGCAACUGUUCCUCAUUAAAUAUUU